UUUUUCACAAGCAUUAUUAUCGUGUGCCGAGAAGCUUCUCCAGGAAGCCAAAAUGCUAAACGCGUUGAGGAGAAUGCUAUGUUUUUCUCGUGACUCCUUGGGUGGAUUUGGAAUUCCGCCUAGUAUUAGGGUGAAUCAAGGAGGAAAAACGUUUUUGUUGAAUACAUAAGAGAAUAGGGAAAUAGAAUGAUUCACUCUAGCUUUUGGAAAAACGACACGAAACAAGGGUUGCUCAGCAUUUUCAGUCUUUUCAGCUCUGUUAGUUCGAAGUAUAGAGGGUUUGCAGUGCGGAAGACACUUACCAAACAUUUCAUCUUUUAUAGAUCAUACCAGGAAUGAAAAACAAAUGGCCAGAGGCAUAAGGAGGUUGUUCACAUGUACAUAGGUGUUGCUAUGGUGGAGAAAAAAGAGAGAAUGAAAAUGAUUGUAUUGUAAGCACUUUUAUUUUUGUUAAUACAAGCUUGUCCUCUUUUCUUGGUGGAGUUUUUUCCUGCAAGGGUU